UAAUCUCUAAAAUAUACAAACAACUUACACAACUCAAGCGAAAAAGCCAACAACCCAAUUGAAAAAUGGGCAAAAGACCUGAGUAGACAUUUCUCCAAGGAAGAUAUGCAGAUGGCCAACAGGCACUUGACCACCCAGCAGAUUCCCUGUGAUAAUGGAGGUGUUCUGAAUCUGCAUUAUGUAUACAGUCUGGGAGCUACUGGCCACUGGAGGCUAUUGAGCACUUGAAAUGCGCCUUGCGAGGCUGAGGGACUGAAUUGUUAACUUUUCAUUUCCUUUCAUUUGAUUAAUUAAAAUUAAAAUGGAGUCACAUGUGGCUAGAUGCUACUGCACUGGACAGUGCAGACUUAAUGAGUCCCCUAAUUGAAGAGCAUACAUUAGUUUUGCCUAAAUUAUCUCCAUUACAUAUUCUCAGAAGAUGCACACAUAUGUGUGAAUACCUGAGUUCUGCUAGCUCAAUAUUUCCUAAUAGAGGUUUUCCCCAAUACUUUGGGUUCUCUAUUAAUAAUAAGCCAGGUUCCUAUAAACCGCAUUCAUUUCUGAAGGAAUAAAAGGGAGAUGUGCCCACAUAUUUGCUGCUAACUAGCCUUGAGGCACAGAGCUUCCUAUAUGCAUUUAGCAUCCUUUAUGGAGUUGUAUGGUUGCCUGAAGCAACCAGACAGGCUGUACCUUCUACAAGGUGCUAUUGCUGAUAGCUCGGCUUUCACCAAGGAGGUACUGCACUAAUCCCCCACUUGGGAAGAAGAGUCUGCUGGCUGCCUGGCAUGAAUGAGCUGGCAGUAACCUCUUUACUCAACGCUUACAAUAUUGCAUCAUUAAUAGUGCUCAUAUUAAAGCAUGACAAGCAAUAUUUUAGUCCUUUUUUUUUAAUGUCCCUCAAUUACCCAUUCCUAUCUGUUCCUGCCCAUCCCCAGAAAGGCAUAAAUAAGGGGUUUGGCUGCACUUCACGUAAUUAGGCUGUGACCAGAGCUAAUCUGUUGCAAUGGAUGAAGCGUGUGUCCUCAGGACUAUCGCUCGCGACAAGGGCAGGGAGAGCUUGAUGCCAACCUCACUGAGUCAGCACGAACAAUGAGCUGAUGCUGGAGGGGGAUGAAAGGAUGCAAAGGAAAGGAACAGCUGUAUCCCUCCAGCAUAAAGCACCACACUGGCCCCCAGGUAGUCAUCACACACUCAGCCCCGUCCUUCUUUCAGGCCUGCUUUGAAGGGGCCACUGUCAUGUUCCUGGGAAGGAAGAAGACGGUGGGCAUUUGGUUUGUUUUUAUGACUUCCUCAGUGAACUUAAUAGAUUUUUUAAAACUAAUGAAUAUUAAAUUCUAACCAGUUACAUCCUUCCAAAGGCUUUUUCUCUUAUUUGUUAACAUCCACAUAUAUUCGCCUUUUAUUGCUUGAACAAAACUGCAGCAGCAUCAACAGACCUCUAAAUAAAGGAAGGAAAAAAAAAAUCACCCAGGAUGCUGAAAGCCCUACAAAUCAAACUAUAUUCAUUUUUCUGUGCUCCCUUUCUGUCUUUGUUCACGUGUACACAUAAUUUAUGUCUGAAACCGCUCUGGUGUCUUUUGUUCCAGGUAUGCAGCGAAUGGGAUUAAAUAUAACUCAACCCUCCAGCAGAUUUUUCUCCCGGGUCCUAGGCCUUCUUAUUUCUUCCACUUCUCCCUGGCCUCUGACCAUUUCUGUUUUGCCAGACCUUGCUCCAGGAUUAAUCCCUGUGCCCCCUUUGGACCAUGGCUGGACUGACUUCUCUGGCCAACUGGUGGCCCCUCGUGGGUCCCUCCAGACCCUUGCAGGUGCAGUAAAGCCCACACUGGGUGGUUUCGGCAGACAGCAGCAGACAGUCACUAUGACUGGUGGUUCCUCCGCCAUAUCUGGUUGUUGAACUUAAAAUAUCACCCCUGAUAUACCUAUGUUCUUCUGCCUUUGACUUAACUCACUUUUGAUGCCCACUUUCCAUGCCCCCACGUUUAACUAUUUUACAUCUCCCAUCCUAGACAAACCAGUAAACUCAAUUCAUUGAGGUUCUCUGGCUUCUGCGAUUUCUAGGUCACCAUUUCUCUUCUCCCUUCUCUCAACAGCUUCCUCUGAACCUAGAACCUCAGCCAAGCUGACUGCAAUCUGUAGAAUAAAUGAAAUCUUACUUUCCACUUUUUAAACUUAUGAUUUUUUCUUCUGAAUGCUGCUGUAUAAGCCUUCCAACUACAGUUUUCAUUUUCUAUUGAAUGAAUGUUCCAUAACUUCCUAACUAUUCUCCCAAAGCAAUGGUUCUUGAUCAGGAGCAACACUGCACCCCCCACUGGGAGAUACUUAACAAUGUCUGGAGACAUUUCUGGUUGUCACAGCUUGGGGGACGCAACUGGAAUUUAGAAGAUCAAGGCCAGGGAUGCUUUGGGACAUCUUCUUAUGCACAGGACAACCCCCGUCACAAAGGAUCACCAUGCUCAAAAUGACAACACUGAAGAGCCUGCCCUAAUGUUAUACAUUCAGAUUUUCCCAGGCUUUUGUCAUGAUAUUUUCAUGAGUCCCCAAGUCCAUCUUACUCAUUGGUGUAUUCCCUGGGCCCAACACCACUACCUGGCCCAUGGUAGACUCUUGUAAACAUGGUGUUUUAUUUCUUUGGGAUCAUUUCUUUAAGGAAAAUUCCCAUGAAAGUCUGUGUGCAUGUAUAUAGUUUUACAUGUUUACAAUAGUUAGUAUACACCCUCCUUUCAGGUAACAUACUUUUACAUUUUUUUUUUUGCUCCAAUUUCCACUUGGAAGUGAACUACACACUGCUAUUUUAAAUAAUUUUGCACAAAUGCACAAAGACAAUACAUAAGCUUAGCAAGCAUACUGAGCUUCUCUAGCCCUGCUUCUGCCAUUCUCUUCUCAAUGCCAAGGCCAUCUUUCCAUUGUUAUAACUAAUGUUUAUUCACACCUGUUCAUUAAUUUGUGUUUCUACCUUUGAGGUAAUUUCUAUAAGGUUGAUAGCAUUCUGAUUCCAGUGCUAUAAAAAGUGAGAAAGAAGUAGUGGGACAAGGGUCAAAUAGAGAAGUUACACCAUCUAGAUGCUGAACAUAGGUGAUGGUAAAUCUCUGAUGAAGUUUUCUCAAUCCUUGGGAACCAUCAGUAACUAUGUAUGAUUUUUAUUAUUCCAGCAUAAUUUUCUAUAAAAAUGGGGAUAGUAAUACCUAUUCAGCUUCAUUGGUAGACCCCCUACUAUGACCUAGCCAGAGAUGAUGACCAGGAGGCGGUUAGAGUCGACAUAAGACAAUGGAGAAUGCUUUGGGAGCUAUGAGCAGAGCAUUCCAAGAAAAUUUACUCCCUUGAAAAGCAUCUUCUUGCUAAUUUAUCUGCAUAUCAAGUGUACAAUCAAAGUAGAAUUACAGAAUCCUCACCACAUACACACACACAAAAGGAAAAACACACAUUUUUUCACAGUGCUUUGUUUUGCAUUGUGAAUGCAAAGACAAACAAAACACACUGAGCAUACAUUCAAGUGAGAUAUAAUCACAGUAAACUAUCAUUUCAUUCACCACGUACUGGGUGAGGUCUAAGCUCUUUAAGUAUAAUCUAAUCAUCACAAUCCACCUUUGGUAUCAAUACCAUUAGACAUUAUUUGAUAAAUGUGGAAACCUAGUAAGCAAUAGAGGUGUAACUGAAACUCGGGCAACCUGCCUCCAUUCUUAACCACUGAGCUAUACUCUCUCUUGAGACAGGUUCACAAAUAAAUAAGUGUAUUCAAAUGUAACCAAGACAGGAUUUAUUUCAGGUAUACAGGGCUGGUUCAAUAGUCAAAAAUCAAUUAAUGUAAUGCAUCAUAUAAACAGCCUGAGGAAGUAAAUCAUAUGAUUGUAUCGAUAGAUGCAAAAAAAAAGCACUAGGCAAAUUCCAACACCUAUUCAUGAUAAAAACUUCCAGCACUUGAAAAAUAGAAAGGAACCUGAUUUUAUAAAGAACAUCUACAAAAUAACCUACCACUAACAUCUUAUUUAAUGCUGAGACUUUCCUGCUAAGAUUAAGAACAAAUCAAAAAAGUCCCUUCUCACUGCUCCUUUUCAACACUGUAUGGGAAGUCCUAUCUAGUGGCUAUCUAAAUCCUAUCUAAAGAUAAGAAAAAAGAAGUAAAAGAUACACUGAUCGGGAAGAAAAAAAACCACCUUAGCUUGCUGAUAACGUAAUUGUCUCUGUGCAAAAUCAGAAGGAAUCACCAAAACUCCUGAAAAUAACAAGUAAUUAUGCCAAGUUUGCAGUAGACAAGGUGAACACACUUAAAAGUCAAUCACCUUUCUAUUUACCAGUAAUUAACAAGAAAAAAUUUGAAAUUAAAAACAUAAUGUUAUUUAUAUUAGCACCCCCCCAAAGUGAAAUAUUUAGGUAUAAAUCUAACAGGAUAAGUACAAAAUCUAUAGGAGAAAAUUACAAAACUCAAACAAAAGAAAUCAAAGAACUAAAUAAAGAGAUACUUCAUGUUCAUGAAUAAGAAGACUCAAUAUUGUCAACAUGUCAACCUCCCAACUUGAUCUAUUAUUUUAUUUUAUUUUAUUUAUUAUUAUGAUUUUUUAUUUUAUUUUGUCAUUUUGCCUUUUCUAGGGCUGCUCCCAUGGCGUAUGGAGGUUCCCAGGCUAGGGGUCUAAUCGGAGCUGUAGCCGCCGGCCUACACCACAGCCACAGCAACGCAGGAUCCGAGCCGUGUCUGCAACCUACACCACAGCUCACGGCAACACCGGAUCGUUAACCCACUGAGCAAGGGCAGGGAUCAAACCCGCACCUCAUGGUUCCUAGUCGGAUUUGUUAACCGCUGAGCCACGAGGGGAACUCCCCAACUUGAUCUAAAGAGUCAACAGAAUCCCAAUCAAAUUCUAGCAAGUUAUUUUUGAAUAUAUACCAAAAAAAAAGGAUUCUAAAAUUUAUAUGAAGAGGCAAAAAAACCCAGAAAACUCACCUCAACAUUGAAAAAUAAGGAAGUCAGACAACUGGUACAACUCAACUUCAAGAGUUACCAUAAACCUAUGGUAAUAAAGAGUGGGCAAAUAGAUAAACAUAUCCCUGGGACAGAAUAGAGAGCCUCUUAAAUACAGUCAACUGAUCUUUGAGAAAGCAGCAAAGGCAACACAAUGGAGCAAAAGCAAUAUAACUGCACAAAGAAGUAUUUUCAACCAAGACUAUCCAGCUAGAACAAGUGAAUAUCCAUAGGCAAAAUUCAAAUCUAGACACAGACUUUACAUCCUCCACAAAAAUUAACACAAAAUGGAUUACAGACCUAAAUGUAAAAUACAAAAUCAUAAAUCACCUAGAAGAUAACCCAGGAGAAAAAAUGCAUAUGGCCUUGAAUAUGGCAAUAACUUCUUAGAUAUAACAGCAAAGGUAUGAUCCAAGAAAAAAGGAACUGAUAAGCUAGGCUUCAUUAAAAUUGAGAACUUUUGUUCUGCAAAAGAGACUAUCAAGAAUAAGAAAGUAAUUCAGAGACUGGGAGAAAAUAUUUGCAAAAGAUAUAUAUCUGACAAAGGACUAUGAUUCAAAAUAUACAAAUACCUUUUAAACCUCAACAAUAAGAAAAUAAACAACCCAAUUUAAAAUGGGCCAUAGAGUUCCCACAGUGGCACAAUGGGAUCAGUGGCAUCUCUGCAGCUCCAGGAUUCAGGUUGGAUCUGUGGCCCAGGGUAGUGGGUCAAAGCAUCCAGCAUUGCCACAGCCAUGGCAUGUGUCACAACUGUGGCUCAGAACUGAUCCCUGGCUCGGGGAACUUCAUAUCCCAUGGGGCAGCUAAAAAAGAAAAAGAGAAUGGACCAAAGGCAUUAACAGAUACCUCACCAAAGAAGAUAUACAGGUGGCAAACAAUCAUAUCAAAAAUGCCCAACAUUAUGUCAUCAGGAAAAUGCAAAUUAAAACAACAUUGAAAUAUCACCACUCACCUAUUAGAAUGGCUGAUAUCCGAAUAACUAACAACACCAAAUACUGAUGAAGAUAUGGAGUAACAGGAAAUCCCAUUCAUUGCUGAUGGGAAUGCAAAUGGUACGGCCAUUUUAGAAGGCAAUUUGGCAGUUUCUUAGAAAACUAAACAUACCAUAUAAUCCAGCAAUUGCACUCCUUGCUAUUUCUCCAAAGGAGCUGAAAACUUAUAUCCAUAAAAAAACCUGCAUACAAAUGUUAUAACAGUUUUAUUCAUAAUUGCCAAACUUGGAAGCAAGCAAGAGGUCCUUUAGCAGGUAAAUGGAUAAAUAAACUGUGGUACAUAUAGACAAUAGAAUAUUAUUAUGUGGCAAUAAAGAGAAAUGAGCUAUUAAGACACGAAAAGACAUGGAGGAAACUUAAAUACAUAUUACUAAGUGAGAGAAGCCAAUCUGAAAAUGUGUUCUUCUAAUUAUAUGACAUUCUGGAAAAGGCAAACUAUGAAGACAAUUAAAGGAUCAGGGGUUGGGGAAGAAGGACGGAUGAAAAGGCAGAGCACAGAGGAUUUCUAGGGUAGUGAAAUAGUCCAGAUGAUACGAUAACGACAGGUACAUGUUGUUAUACAUUUUUCAAACCCAGAGAAUGUACAACACCAAGAAGGAGCCUGAAUGUAAACCAUGGACUUUGAGAGAUAAUGAUGUGUCCAUGCAGGUCAGCAAUUAUAACAAAUGCACCACUCUGCCGUGGGAGUUUGAUAGUGGGGGAGGCUGUACAUAUGUGGGGGAAAGGAAUGUAUGUGAAAUCUGUAUACCUUCCACUCAAGUUUGCUGUCAGCCUAAAACAGCUCUUUAUAAUUAAGUUUAUUUAAAAACUGGGGAAAAAAAAAAAAAAAA
rnacentral:lncRNA from 1 species